GGACCGAACCGACUAAUGUUGAAAAAUUAGCGGAUGACCUGUGGCUGGGGGUGAAAGGCCAAUCAAACCGGGAGAUAGCUGGUUCUCCCCGAAAGCUAUUUAGGUAGCGCCUCGUGAAUUCAUCUCCGGGGGUAGAGCACUGUUUCGGCUAGGGGGCCAUCCCGGCUUACCAACCCGAUGCAAACUGCGAAUACCGGAGAAUGUUAUCACGGGAGACACACGGCGGGUGCUAACGUCCGUCGUGAAGAGGGAAACAACCCAGACCGCCAGCUAAGGUCCCAAAGUCAUGGUUAAGUGGGAAACGAUGUGGGAAGGCCCAGACAGCCAGGAUGUUGGCUUAGAAGCAGCCAUCAUUUAAAGAAAGCGUAAUAGCUCACUGGUCGAGUCGGCCUGCGCGGAAGAUGUAACGGGGCUAAACCAUGCACCGAAGCUGCGGCAGCGACACUGUGUGUUGUUGGGUAGGGGA
rnacentral:rRNA from 1 species